GGAGAGAUGGCCGAGUGGUCGAAGGCGCCCGCCUGCUAAGCGGGUGUAGGAUCAAAAGUCCUACCCAGGGUUCAAAUCCCUGUCUCUCCGCCA
rnacentral:tRNA from 1 species